CUACGGGAGGCUGCAGUGGGGAAUAUUGCACAAUGGAGGGAACUCUGAUGCAGCAACGCCGCGUGGAGGAUGACGCAUUUCGGUGUGUAAACUCCUUUUAUAUAGGAAGAUAAUGACGGUACUAUAUGAAUAAGCACCGGCUAACUCCGUGCCAGCAGCCGCGGUAAUACGGAGGGUGCAAGCGUUACUCGGAAUCACUGGGCGUAAAGCGCAUGCAGGCGGUUAAAUAAGUUGGAAGUGAAAUCCUAUGGCUCAACCAUAGAACUGCUUCCAAAACUGUUUAACUAGAGUCUGGGAGGGGAAGAUGGAAUUAGUAGUGUAGGGGUAAAAUCCGUAGAGAUUACUAGGAAUACCAAAAGCGAAGGCGAUCUUCUGGAACAGUACUGACGCUGAGAUGCGAAAGCGUGGGGAGCAAACAGGAUUAGAUACCCCCGUAGUC
rnacentral:rRNA from 1 species